UUUUCUUUCAUGAAACAUCAAAGAAGCAACACAGAAUGCAUCUUUCAUGUUCCAGACAUACCACAAUACUUCAGUGUUUUCCAUUCCUUCAGAUUCACUGCUAACCAAGAUGAAAGCUGAGGUCUUGUGAGCAAAACCUAAGCCAUCUGAAAAGAAAUGGUAUCCCUUUGAGGUUCUCGGUUCCAGAGAAGGAACAUUGUGGUCAUGUUCGACAGGCUGGUGUAGAACGUCACACAAUGGUGCUGGAGAUGUUUCAUGGAUUGUCUUCCAGGAGAUGAAGAAGGAACAAGAAAGAAAAUUCUUAGGGCUUGAAAUCAUCACCUGCAUGAAAGAAAAACCCAACAAAGAACUGAAAAGAUGUGCUGAGCCCCCAUCAGGGCUAUAGGAGCAGCUGCCUGUGUCAAAGCUUGUGAAAACAUGCUACAUUCACCGUUGUCCCUACUGCCAGAUUACAUUGAUAGGAAUGGCUCAGGGAUGCUCUGCUCUGAAAAUGCAGACUUCUGGACUGAGAGGGAUUCUCCACUGGCUACUAGCAAUGUGCUGUCUGUCUUACGUAUACGAACAGUUCAGAAUACACUACCUGAAAGCUUAUUCAAUACAUGGAGAAAGGAGAGGAGAACUGAAAACAGUUGGUGGGGGCACCAGCCUGGUUUUGAACCUUCUGAAGAAUAG
rnacentral:lncRNA from 1 species